rnacentral:snRNA from 1 species
GGAAAACUAGUCACUUUGCAAU